UACGGAGGGAGCUAGCGUUGUUCGGAAUUACUGGGCGUAAAGCGCACGUAGGCGGCUUUGUAAGUUAGAGGUGAAAGCCCAGGGCUUAACCCUGGAAUUGCCUUUAAGACUGCAUCGCUCGAAUUGUGGAGAGGUGAGUGGAAUUCCGAGUGUAGAGGUGAAAUUCGUAGAUAUUCGGAAGAACACCAGUGGCGAAGGCGACUCACUGGACACAUAUUGACGCUGAGGUGCGAAAGCGUGGGGAGCAAACAGG
rnacentral:rRNA from 1 species